GGGAAGAGGCGCAUGUGGGGACUCCCAGUGGACAGCAGCGAGGGAGACGUCAAGGAAGGCUUCCAAAUUGGAUGAAGAGGGGAUGGAGGUUGCUGUGUGUCGCCAUGGGUUUCUUCUGAAGGCCCUUAAUAUGUACAGAGGGGAGAUAUUUGCCUACCCCCUGUAUCUUCAAAAGGAGCUUAUGCCAGCCAAGGCAAAAUUCUUUGCUAUGGAUGUGGCUUGCAAAUAUUGGCCAUACUUGGAGAAAGCUGCUCGAGUCCUUCCUGCCCUUCAGGAGCUCAACGAAAUGAAACCCUUCCUCAGCAUAAUGCAUGCUCGAGCCCAUGCUACAAAGUGUGAGAUUAAAUGGAGUGGUAGGAACCAGGAAGGAGCAGGAACAACAGCCGGGGAGGAGGUGGAGCAAGUGAACAGCUACCUGUCACGUUGUGCCCUGACUACCAAAUAUAUGUCCAAAGCAGCACGGGUGGACAUGGUUACUUUGCACGCAGUGGGGUGGAACCACAAAAAAAGUCUCUCUCUACAUCAGGCACUUUCCACAAGAUAUGUGAAG